UAAGGAUCAGACUUCUCUCAAUUUUUACUUACUUUUCAUCUGGAAAUUCCUUAUGGCAACUGUGAAAGUGGGUGCCCGUCGGAUGCUUGUUCUUUGAGAAGUUGACCUCCUGUCAUUUGCAUGACCGUGAAGGUUAUGACUAUUAAGCUAGAUAAAGUCAGAGAGAUCUGAAGAAUUCAAUCAAAUGGCAUUUUGUUGCAUUCAAAUGGAUUUGUGGAUUGUAGGGAGACUAUGACAAGAAUUCAUGAGAGAAAAAAAGUAAAUAGUCACAUCCCCUCGAGCAGCUGCCAGUGACUUUGGAACACGAUCAUUCAAACUCAAGAAUGAGGAAAGGUGUGAUGAAUUCAAGCAACUUAACCAGUAGGAUCACCCUGACAGAUUGAGGUUAAGGUAACCCAUUAGAAUCACUACUAAUAAAGGCACGCUGCACAUAGGCAUGUCCCUUUAGCUAGGUGCCUAAGAAGAAGAAAAACAGUCCUUUUCUAUGAGUUGAGCUCAUCUGAGCCAGACAGGUGCUGGCAUAGUGAAUUAAUUUGUCACCAAGAUUGUUGGGAAAGAUCAACCUCCUCUGACAAGUGUAGCUUAUACCUCCAAGUGAACAAACACCAUUUUCUACAGUAAACAUCCUCUCAAAGGUAGUUGCAAAAAACAAGCAUAUUAGUCUUAAGAUUUUAAGUCAAAAUCCUUGGAAAUACAAGGAUAAAACUUUUAAUAUGACAGCAAAUAUCUUUGCACUUCCCAGCAAAUUAGACAGAAUUUCAACUCUGAUGACAAGAUACAGACUGUGAACAGAAUUAGCUUAUGUUAUUUGUUCACAGGUGUGUAAAUAUUCACUACUAUUUCCUGUUCUACCUAACAAGAUUUAAUGGCGACCCCAGGACUUAUGUCUAGAGAGCACCUGUAUCAACAAUCUCUCAUUUUCUCAGGAUUCUUUAACAAUGGCUGAUUCCUGGGGAUCUGCUUCCUCUCCCAUUUUCUAGCUGAAGCUGAAUGAAAGAAUUUGUAGGUUAUGAUCUCUGUUUCCAUAAUCCCAUUCAGAAGGCCUGGGCUUUUAGACUCACCCUGGCACAAUGACUAUGGAAGAUGACUCAGUUUCUCCACAUCCUGGAGACCUACAGUUUCCGUUCUUACCUCCUGCCAGAAUCUCUGGUCAGUUUGCAAAAUGGUCAGCUGAAGGGAAUCCUCAAAGUUUGCUUGGAAACCCACUAGAUGAUUAGAAUUACUUAAUUGUUCCCUCCGUGGGUGUUAUAAAUUGAAUUGAAAGAUAAUUGAAGUUCUAAUUUCCAGUAUCUCGGAACGUGAUCUUGAAUUUCCCUGCCGGUCCUGUGGGGAAGACUUCGAGCUUAAUACAGGGGGGCCCUGGGUUCGAUCCUUGGUCAGGGAAAAAGAUCCAGGAUGCCACUAAGAGCCCCAUUGUCACAGCGAAGAUUCUGAGUGCUGCAAUUAAGACCCAGCAUAGUCAAAAAAAAAAAAGAAUGUGAUCUUAUUUGGGAAAAGGGUCUUUCCAGCUUUAUCCAAGUUAAGAUAAGGUCAUUAGGGUAGGCCCUAAUUCUGUGAGAGGUAUCCUUAUAGAAGGGGGAAAAUUGGACUCAGACACACACAGAGGGAAGACAACAUGAAGAAACACGGCGAGAACGCCAUAUAAAAAUGGAGGCAGAGUGGACCUGACAGAUGAAGCUGUAAGCUGAAGGGCUCUAAGGAUUGCCCCCUGCCGUUGGAAGCUGGGAGAGGUUGGUGCGUGUGUUCAGGAACAGUGGCUCACAAAGGGUCCGUGGCCUUGGAACUGAGAAGCAAGACAGGUGAAAAGCAAGAAACUGCAGGUGGAGAUGCUGUCAGACCUCGUCUGUGCAAAGCUGGGCCCCAGCAGUGACUAUGCAGAGGAUCUGGAGAAUUUGGCUUAUUAGAGGACUGAGCAGUUCAUCUAGAUUUUAAGCUGAAAUGUCCGAGAGAGCUUUAGUCUUUAAACAACAUAGGAAUAUGUAGAAGAGUUUAAUCAUCAUCUCAAUAAAUUUUAUUAGAUUU